GAUGAGCCUACGCACUAUUAGCUAGUUGGUAGAGUAAAAGCCUACCAAGGCGAAGAUGGUUAGUCGGCCUGAGAGGGUGUACGACCACAAUGGAACUGAAACACGGUCCAUACUCCUACGGGAGGCAGCAGUGGGGAAUAUUGCACAAUGGGCGCAAGCCUGAUGCAGCGACGCCGCGUGGAGGAUGAAGGCUUUCGAGUUGUAAACUCCUGUUAAGUGGGAAGAAAGACUGUUGACUAAUAAUCAGCAAGGAUGACGGUACCACUAGAGAAAGCACCGGCAAACUUCUUGCCAGCAGCCGCGGUAAUACGAAGGGUGCAAGCGUUAUUCGGAGUUACUGGGCGUAAAGAGUAUGUAGGCGGUUUGUUAAGUUAGUUGUCAAAGACCACGGCUCAACCGUGGAAAGGCAGCUGAUACUGAUGAGCUAGAGCGCAGAAGAGAGGAGUGGAAUUCCCGGAGUAGCGGUAAAAUGCGUAGAUCUCGGGAGGAACACCGGUUGCGAAGGCGGCUUCUUGGUCUGUGGCUGACGCUAAAGUACGAAAGCGUGGGGAGCAAACAGGAUUAGAUACCCUGGUAGUCCACGCUGUAAA
rnacentral:rRNA from 1 species